ACGCCUAAAUCUGGUCAGGACCGGAAGGUAGCAGCCACAAGGGAUGCUUGA
rnacentral:SRP_RNA from 1 species